rnacentral:rRNA from 1 species
AGUGAACGCUGGCGGUAGGCCUAACACAUGCAAGUCGAACGGCAGCACAGUAGAGCUUGCUCUUACGGGUGGCGAGUGGCGGACGGGUGAGGAAUACAUCGGAAUCUACUUUUUCGUGGGGGAUAACGUAGGGAAACUUACGCUAAUACCGCAUACGACCUACGGGUGAAAGCAGGGGAUCUUCGGACCUUGCGCGAUUGAAUGAGCCGAUGUCGGAUUAGCUAGUUGGCGGGGUAAAGGCCCACCAAGGCGACGAUCCGUAGCUGGUCUGAGAGGAUGAUCAGCCACACUGGAACUGAGACACGGUCCAGACUCCUACGGGAGGCAGCAGUGGGGAAUAUUGGACAAUGGGCGCAAGCCUGAUCCAGCCAUACCGCGUGGGUGAAGAAGGCCUUCGGGUUGUAAAGCCCUUUUGUUGGGAAAGAAAAGCAGCAGGUUAAUACCCCGCUGUUCCGACGGUACCCAAAGAAUAAGCACCGGCUAACUUCGUG